UACAGAGGAUGCAAGCGUUAUCCGGAAUGAUUGGGCGUAAAGCGUCUGUAGGUGGCUUUUUAAGUCCGCCGUCAAAUCCCAGGGCUCAACUCUGGACAGGCGGUGGAAACUACCAAGCUGGAGUACGGUAGGGGCAGAGGGAAUUUCCGGUGGAGCGGUGAAAUGCGUAGAUAUCGUUUGGAACGCCAAAGGUGAAAACAGGUAGCUGGGGAUGUGCUGACACUGAGACACGAAAGCCAGGGGAGCAAACGGG
rnacentral:rRNA from 1 species